UUGUUUCAUAGGUUUGAUUCAGACUCAAACGACAUGGACAGGGACUCGACGUCAAAAGACGUCGAAGCAAGUUUUACUCCACAAGUUUUCGGGCGCCGUGAGACGCCCUAUUGAUUCGGAUCAGGGCGGCAGGACCGCCCCUUUCGAUAUUGAUCCCUCCGCAGGUUCACCUACGGAGA
rnacentral:misc_RNA from 1 species